UAAAUAAUCCGCUACACUCAUUUUCGAGUCUUAAAAAUAUUUGAUAAUUUCUAUUUCAUCGAAGAUCAUUUCAUAGAGCAUGAAGACUGUAAGCAAUCUAACAGCUAUGGUCUGGUUAUCCGUUAUCCUUGCCACGAUUUCCUUUGCUUCAGCACAGACUUCAGUUUUGGGAUAUGUGUAUAAUCCACUUUAUCUACGCCACCACAUAAUAGAUAUUAAAAGUCGCGGCCUUACAGUAGACUAUCCUCCCGAUGAGUUGGAUUUUAAACACAUCAUGACUGGUAUAAGAGUUAUAAAUAAUGCUCAUGAUAAAAUGCCCUUUAAGGUCAGAUUUUCUGGUGGAAUUAUAAGUAUAGUACCCAAAAGGCCAAAUACAGGCAUUGAUGUGACCGUUGAAUAUUAUGGAGUAUUAGACGAAACAAAAUAAUGCACAUUGAAAUUGAAAGCAUAUGACAAAAUGGUGAACAAAAGAUGUGGAAAAUAAAAUAUCUGGAAAACCUAAUGAAAAUAUAUUUUUUUUCCUAAGGCAAUAAAACUAAGCCAUAAAUGCAAAAUAAAA
rnacentral:sRNA from 1 species